rnacentral:hammerhead_ribozyme from 1 species
ACCCAGGUGAAGAGUCCAAAAUAGGACGAAAUGUCCAUCGUGGAU